AAAGGUGCAGUGGCUUAGUAGUAUAGCAUCUGCCUGUCGUGCAGAAGGUCCCAGGCUCAAUUCCUGGCACUUCUA
rnacentral:tRNA from 1 species